rnacentral:siRNA from 1 species
ACCUACCUAAGGGGCGCAUCUACC